rnacentral:rRNA from 1 species
GUAUGGUGUAAGCGUUAUCCGGAUUUACUGGGUGUAAAGGGAGCGUAGACGGAUGGGCAAGUCUGAUGUGAAAACCCGGGGCUCAACCCCGGGACUGCAUUGGAAACUGUUCAUCUAGAGUGCUGGAGAGGUAAGUGGAAUUCCUAGUGUAGCGGUGAAAUGCGUAGAUAUUAGGAGGAACACCAGUGGCGAAGGCGGCUUACUGGACAGUAACUGACGUUGAGGCUCGAAAGCGUGGGGAGCAAACAGGAUUAGAUACCCUGGUAGUCCACGCGGUAAACGAUGAAUGCUAGGUGUCGGGUGACAAAGUCAUUCGGUGCCGCCGCAAACGCAUUAAGCAUUCCACCUGGGGAGU